rnacentral:lncRNA from 1 species
AUGGCAGGUGCAGAGCCUCAUUCAACAUUUCCUGCUCACCUGAGUUUUCCUUCAUCCUUUGUGAUGGCUCUAUUGACUAAGAGCGGUUUGCAGUUUAGCACUGUAGGUCUCAGUAUUUGGUACAGAGACCUCACUCAUCCUCUAGAGCCCAUGGGCUGCAGACUGGUGUGUGAGUAUUGCAGGGGUAUGCAUGGCCACAACCGACAUCAUAAUAGCAGCACACAUUCUUCAAAUGCACUGUGUAGAACUCAGAUUGGAAAAAGCAAAACCCAAAACACUUCAGAUAGUGCCAAAAUAUUUUACUUAGAUACUAUUUUAGUUGGGGUUUUUAUUGCUAUGAAGAGAUGCCAUGACCACGUAACUCUUAAAAAAGGAAAACAUGUAAUUGGGGCUGGCUUACAGUUUCAGACAUGUAGUCAUGGCAAGAAACAUGGUGGCAUGCAGGCAGACAUGGAGCUGAAUAAGGAGCUGAGAGUUCUACAUCUUCACCUGCAGGCAGCAGGAGGAGACACUGGGCAUAGCUUGAGCAUAGGAGACCUCGGUGCCUGCUCCCACAGUGACACACUUCUUCCAGCAAGGCCACACCUAUUCUUACAAGGACAAAAGAGAAAGCUCAUCAGUCCCCAGGGGGAAGGCCCAGGACCGGCGUGGAUGAUGGGGUGACUGGAGACUAUGUCAAAUGGACAAAGCAAUGUAUCUCACACAGAGGCCAGUCCAGAAGAUGCAAAACACACCCCAAUUCCAUCUGACAAAGAGAAGAAAUAUUUGUGUGACCUUGUAGUAGGUGUUGUUCUUAUCAGCGCCCCAGAGGUAUACAUCUGUCAGGACUUUCAGGCAAAGCACACUAGCUAUUUGUCUUAUCACUGUAGCAAAUCCACAUGAAACAACUUCAGCAUUUUUUUAGCUCAUAGUUUGAAGGAAUGGAUUCCACUGUGAUGUGGAAUGCACAUUGAUUCACUGUCUGGGAGCAAUGAGAGAUGAGUGUUUCUGCUUGGCAUCCUUUUGUAUCCUUUUUUAUUCACUUUGGGAUGCCAGCCCAUUUGAUGCUACUGUCUACCUGAAAGGAGAUCUGACUCUCAGUGAAUUCUGAUUGGAAUCACCCUCACGGACCUUGUAUCUCACUAGGGUCAUAGUUGUGUUUUAGCCGAUCUUGCUGACAGUGAAGUCCACACCACACAAGGAGAGAUUUAGCUACUCACACCUUUGAGGUCUUACUUCUUUUGACGGUGGUCACCCUUGGAGUCCUAGGUUAGCUGUGGCACAAUGGAUAAGGGCCUGAAACAAAGGAGCCUGGCAUUUUGUAUCUGACCUUGAAAAGUACUGCAUGACAGAGAAAAUUUGGAGACUCCCGCGACUCACAUGGCUGUUGGGCAGACGAUAGGAGACAGGGAAUACCUUAGGCAGUUCACCCUGACUCCAGGUGCACGUCUGCAGAUGAAGAGGGCACACCAAACGCUGUGCUUUUUAAUAAUUGACAACUUGGUGUCACUCACCAGCCACCACAUCCCCCACUGGGAAUUUCU